rnacentral:rRNA from 1 species
GACGAACGCUGGCGGCGUGCUUAACACAUGCAAGUCGGACGGAAAGGCCUCUUUCGAGGGGUACACGAGUGGCGAACGGGUGAGUAACAGGUGAGUAACCUGCCCCUACCUCUGGGAUAACUUCAGGAAACUGGGGCUAAUACGGGGCAAAAGCACCAGCCGCCUGGAGGGGGGUGGAAAGUUUCGGCGGUUGGGGGUGGACGCGCGGCCUAUCCGUUUGUUGGUGGGGUAGUGGCUUACCUAGGCUUUGCCGGGUCGCCGGCCUGUGCGGGUGGCCGGCCACCUUGGGUCUGAGAUACGGCCCAGCCUCCUACGGGAGGGAGGAGGGGGGAAUAUUGCACAAUGGGUGGGAGCCUGAUGCAGGAACGCCGUGUGCGUGGUGACGGACGUCCGGUUGUACGCCGAUUUCGUUCAUGACGAAGCUAUGUGUGACGGUAGUGGGUAAAGAAGCACCGGCUAACUACGUG